GAAAAUAGAAUAAAAAUGAAAUUAUAAGAGAAAUUAGGAAAGAAAAUUGAAAAUAAAAGAAAUUAGAAAAUAAAAUUAUAUAUAUAUAUAUAUAAAUGAGGGCCUGAUGGCCUUUAAAUCAAGGCCAUACGGCCAUCAAGAAAGCUAUGGCCAAUUGGCCAUUAAAAUAAUAAAAUAAAAUAAAAAGAAAAAUCAAAAAGUCAAAAAGGUGAAAGAAUAAAAGAAGAGAGGUGCACGUGCACCUCCCUUCUCAAAUAAUGGAAAGGCCAAAUGGCCUUUCCAAAGCAGAGGCCGUGCGCCUCUGCUGUCUCAAAAAGAAAAGAAGAAAAAAAUGAAAAGGGGUCAUCUGACCCGAGAGAAAAAGAAAUAGGAAGGAGAUGAUUUUUAUACAAAAAUUAUGAUCUAUGAAGAUCCAAUCGUCCAAACUCGAAUCCGACUUCGGUAACGUAAUUCUUGAAGCCCGAUCUACAUUUUGACCGAACGUUUUGAGAUUUUGUGUGGUUUGGAGUUGCUAGGAGCUUCCCGAGCACUGGGUCUUGGUGUGGUGAAUUUUUGCGGCACGUUACGGUUGAGCUUAGAGUCGUUUGGAUAUUGGGAGUACAAGCAAUCUGAGAUGAUGUUUCUUUGGCUGCAGGUACUUCGGUAUAGUCGAUGGGUCAAUAGCAGUGUGCUUGGGAUAUUAUGACUGAAGCUCGCCGCGACAGUUGUAAUGGUCGGACCACGGGUUGUCCACUAUUUUAUAGGUUUGGUAUGGCUUGUGACGUUUGUGUCACUUAUUCUUUGUUAAGCCAUUGUUGUUAUUGUGUUAAUAAGACUCAAACAGAUAGAUGUUAAAUGGCUCUUUGUUGUAAUUAACUUGUGAUAGAUGUAUAAGUUGUAAUUUUCGCUAUUCAGAUUUAUGUUUUCCGUUGCAUAGAUAGAUGUAUGUCAUACUCUGAUUAUCAGGUACAUGUUAUGGGGCAUGUGCCAUAUGUUGGCUGAGCGACACGUAGUCGUGCCACUGCGAUGACUCGUUUUACGUUUUUUUUAAAAAAAAAAAAAAAAAAAAAACGGGUCGUCACAGAAAAUGGUAUCAGAGCAGUUUGUUCUAGGGUUUGUUAGGAAAAGCGGAAGUCUAGGUUUGUAUUAGAGUCUUAAGUGUAACAAAAGAGCCUUAAGAUUCUAAAAGAUUUAACACAAACAAGAAAAACUUAAAAAUGAAUUCUUGUAUGCAUUGCAUGGAUUUUGUAAUGCAUUCAUUAGGAUUUGUGUUGUCUACGUAGCAUAGUUCUUUAUAGACAGGCUAUGCCACUUAGACAAUGACCUCUUCUUUAGUUUGGAGGUGUUGCAUGCGUCUUGUUUGAUUCAAGUGCAACGCGUUCCAUUUGUCUCGUUCACGUAUGUGGAGUUGUGUGGGUUGUCCCUUAGGUCGAAACAUGCGUGGCCACCUUUGUUGGCGACGCUAUUAUUGGUAGGCCUAGGUGUCUAGUCGUUUAGCCUUUUAGAAGAGUCUAGCAUGAUUGUGACUAUAGGCGACGUAAGAGAGAGCUUCUCGUGAGAGUAGACUAAUAACCGUCCUUUAAGAAGUGGUGACGUAUUCUUAGGGCGCAUCGAAGGAGACUUGAAUCUUGAAGAGCACGAGACCGUUGUACGAGAUCAAUUCAAGGAAGCGGCCUAACUGCAACUACAAAGACGACACCCUAGGGAGGCGAUAACCAUCAACCAAGCAGCUGUUCAGACAACGAGAGAUGUAUCGUCUAGGGAUUCAACCAAUAAGUACGAGUUAAAAUAGUAGAAUAUUAAUGUGGAAUAGACUAAUAAGCAAAUAGCAAAAAUAAUAAAUUUCAAGAUAUCUUGUUUUAAUAAACUGUGGAUUAAAGAAUAAUUUUUAAAGCAAGGAGUUAAGUUAAGAAUGACUAAUUAAUAAAAUUUAUGGGCUAAACCAAAUACUCUUAAAACAUGAUUUCAAACAUUAGAGUUAACUUAAAAUGUAGUUGUGCAAACAUGCUUUGUGUGUUAAGUAUAAGAUUUAACACAAAUAAUUAUUAAAGAAAAAGUGAUAGUUCAAUAUGAACUUUCAAUAUAUGGUGGUAUGUGUUUGACAAUAUUGUUUGAAUUAGGUCCAAGUAUUAGAAAAAAAAGUUAAUUGCUACUUGAUCUUUGAUGAGAUCAUGGUGUCAUAGUAUAUUUUCGGUGAUGAAACCAAUAUUUAGGAAAAUUUAUGUGUUGAAGGUAUAGAUGACAGUGCAAUAGUAAGGAGUUAAUAGAUUAGAUCAAUAAUAUGUUGAGGAUAUGCCACCAAUCAUGCGUAAGGAGCAAGUUAAGGCAUAGUGAUGUCAAGUUAAGUGUGAAAAUCUCAAUGGUUUACCAAUUUGAGGAUAGUAGUACCUAUGAAUUAAGAUGGAUAAAUCAUAAAACCACAUGAGACCAAGUAAGAUAUUGAAUUUUAAGAGAAACUUAGUAAGCCCACACUAGAUUCGGGGUGUUUUAAAGGUCACAACUGUGGACAAUUAGAGUCAUUCCAAUAUGAUUUUAGAAGUUGAUAAGGUAAGUGAUAGAGGAAUGAGAAAUUCACCUUAAGUCAUAAUUUGGAAAAUGAGUUUUGAACUAAGGAGGGGAGACCUAGUGAAUCAACUUGGACUGAAGAGGAUGUAAGUUCAAAUGAAUGAAGUAUGGGUUAGCAAGUGUUGGUAUUAGUUAUGACUUUGAGGUUAAGAAUAGAAUGCAUGGCGCUAAUGGUUUGUGAGAUUUAGUGGGCAAUUAUCAACUAAGACAGUUUGCUCAAGUAAGGUGUGCCCACUCACGCCGAGCAAUGCUAAAGUCCGUCCAACCAUCGCAAAUGUUGUUAAUGCUACCAUAGGUAUUAUACCUAUAUGUUGUAGCAUUGUGUACAUUUGACUUAUUGGAGUUUUAUCCAUUCGUAUGUUUUACUAUGCAUUGUUACAUGCAUAAUGGGCACCAAACCUUUAAAAUUAAUGUGCGUGACCAUUUCUAUUGGUGACGCAUUUGUCAACAGUAAAUAUAGAAGUCAUUGCCUUAGCACUAUAUGGGUGAUGACAUUGUUAACUCUAGUUUUUGACAUGAUGAGCUACAGUGUCCAACUCAUUUAGUUUGAUAUGUUAAGUAGUUCACCCUUGUCUCAUUUGUAUUGUAAGCGAUGCAAAUUGAGCAUUCAACCCUUAGAUUAGAACUUAUGCGUGGCCACUCAUAUAGAUGACGCCUUUGCUUAUAAGGAGCAUGUGAACAAGUGUGCCAUAGGUAUUAGAGAAAAGACUCUGCCAGCAAAGCUAGCAGUGUUAUGUGUGUAGAGUUCUAAUGUUAGCAUACUUAGCUUUAACAUGUAAUGUGUUGAGUUUUAAUGCCAUGCAUAUAGGAUAUCGGUGUUCGACAUGCUAAACAAUAAAGCUUAUCAUGUUGAACUACAAUGUUAACUCGUUGGAGCUUUGGUGUUAAUUUGGUACGGAUUGACGAUCAAGAAGUAGAAGUGAACGUAGAUAAUCACGAAUGGGAGGUUGUAUUCCUACCCCAUUGUAUAGAGAGUCCAAACUUUGGGGGUCUCGUUUGUGAGUUACUCUGCAAUUCCUCUCUGAUAUCCAACAAUGAUGAAUUUUUGAGAGUGUACACUUGUAUGUUUGGCUUAUUCCUAAGCCAAGCUCAAAAUCGAGUCCGAGUUGGGAACAUCUUGAUAGUACUGAUGUUUCCACUUUAGUAUCGAGUCUAUGUAGUCGUGCAUGGAUUACCAUGUGAUAGACCUAGCGACGAUCUAGGAUGAGUGUUCCAUAAAGAAAACUGACGGCUUGUUCGGUUAACUCAUGAAGCUUUGGUAUUCUUGGGAGAUUGACUUUCUUCUGAGAUACCAUCGACUUUUGGUGCAAAAGGUAAUGUGCCAAAGUCAACGAUCUAUAUAUGGUAUGACCGUUAUGAGUUUUGGUUAUGCCAUUUGGAUUGACAAAUACACCAUCAAUAUUUAUAGAUUUGACGAGUCAAGUGUUCCAUGAAUACCUAGACAAGUGAUAAGUAUAACGUCGACACAUUAGUCUAUUCGGCUAUUUGUGUCGAACAUGGAAGACACUUGGUAUCAAUGUUCGAAGUGCUUAAUAAAAGGAAUUCUUCGCCAAGCUCAUGAGGGGUGAGCUUUGCUUAAGGAAGUGUCAUUCUUGGUUUACGUAAUGAACGAAAAUGGACUCGUAGUCAAUACGUUAGCAAGUGAACACACAGUUGUCCUUGUGCUUAACUACCCAGAAAUUUUUGGAUAUGUGGCUUGCACAGAUACAUCACAAUAGGCGAGGAUGCACCCUUGUAUAAUAACAUGGAUAUAAUUUAUGCUACUUAUCAAUUGUGGAUCAUGAGUAUCGUUAUUCUUCUCAUGAUUCAUAGUCAGUAAUCAUUGUCUAUGUCCUACUAUUUUGUGAGCAAAGCACUCCAGUGUUAAGAGAUGGAGACAUGAGAUAACGUUGAUGGCAAGAUUGAUUCAAAGUGUAAUAGGAGUGUUAGUUCAACGUACCUUCCGCGGGCGAGCAGUUGAUCCAAGAGGGCUAUUUAGAUACUUAAGGGUACGCCUAAGUUGUGCGUGUGGGAAUUUAUAAAGUCGGAUAUAAUACUCGCCGUUGGUUGUGACUACUACUUAUGGUAGUUUACAACUAUUGAUGUUGUAUCGCACGUAACUUCGUAAGGACGCAAAGAUGAACGCCAAUUCAUUUGGCAUAAAGUUGGUGUGAGACGAUCAGUGAGCUUUGAAGUGGUGUAUGAUUCUAGGGAAGAUUGCACUCGUUUAAAGUAGAUAUUCACUACAUAGUGAUGGUAAGUUAUGUAGAUAAACAUCGCGGCAAAUCUAUAUUACAAAUUGGUGAUCUUAUGAAAUACAAGGUGUUGCCAAUGCGAAAUAUGUAACGCUUUGGACAAUAGGGAUGUGCUCAACUCUGAAAAAAUAUUGAGUUGUCCUUAGUGCAAAACGUAUGUCCAUCACAUAAUCGGUCAUGAUGUCUCUUAAUUUUAGAGGUUAUUCAUGACAUUUUCCCAUAUUCCUCCGUUACGAACGUGUCUGCGACUCUCCACUUAUGAUGAACUUUUUCAUAUUCAAUGGAAAUUGAUUUAUGAAGAGGUGUAAAAAGAGUGAUGAUCUAUAAGAAAAUACUAAAUUCAUUUCAUUAGUGAUACCUCUGUGGUGAAAUCACGAUGUUGAGGAAGCCACAUGAGUGCUGGACCGUUAAAUGCGGGAGUGAUCCCUUCAUUUUACCGAAUAAAUACGGGUAUGAUUGUUAUGUCAUACAAUUUUCGCAUAAGUACCCUGGGUAAAACGCAUACGUGCAUGGGUAUUUCUAAUAUAGAAUGCAUGCUCGUAUAUGUGUAAAACGAUUAAUGUUCAAAUUUCGAGGACGAAAUUUUUAUAAGGAGGGAGGGAUGUAAUGUCCGGGACAUUAUUUAAUAAAUAAAGUAUAAAAUUUAAGUAAUUAAUUUAUUAAAUUAAUUUAGUGUCACUAAAAAUAUAAAGGAAUAUUUUUAGGUCUAAAGAAAUAGAAAAGAAAAAGAAAUUAUAAGAGAAAAUAGAAUAAAAAUGAAAUUAUAAGAGAAAUUAGGAAAGAAAAUUGAAAAUAAAAGAAAUUAGAAAAUAAAAUUAUAUAUAUAUAUAUAUAAAUGAGGGCCUGAUGGCCUUUAAAUCAAGGCCAUACGGCCAUCAAGAAAGCUAUGGCCAAUUGGCCAUUAAAAUAAUAAAAUAAAAUAAAAAGAAAAAUCAAAAAGUCAAAAAGGUGAAAGAAUAAAAGAAGAGAGGUGCACGUGCACCUCCCUUCUCAAAUAAUGGAAAGGCCAAAUGGCCUUUCCAAAGCAGAGGCCGUGCGCCUCUGCUGUCUCAAAAAGAAAAGAAGAAAAAAAUGAAAAGGGGUCAUCUGACCCGAGAGAAAAAGAAAUAGGAAGGAGAUGAUUUUUAUACAAAAAUUAUGAUCUAUGAAGAUCCAAUCGUCCAAACUCGAAUCCGACUUCGGUAACGUAAUUCUUGAAGCCCGAUCUACAUUUUGACCGAACGUUUUGAGAUUUUGUGUGGUUUGGAGUUGCUAGGAGCUUCCCGAGCACUGGGUCUUGGUGUGGUGAAUUUUUGCGGCACGUUACGGUUGAGCUUAGAGUCGUUUGGAUAUUGGGAGUACAAGCAAUCUGAGAUGAUGUUUCUUUGGCUGCAGGUACUUCGGUAUAGUCGAUGGGUCAAUAGCAGUGUGCUUGGGAUAUUAUGACUGAAGCUCGCCGCGACAGUUGUAAUGGUCGGACCACGGGUUGUCCACUAUUUUAUAGGUUUGGUAUGGCUUGUGACGUUUGUGUCACUUAUUCUUUGUUAAGCCAUUGUUGUUAUUGUGUUAAUAAGACUCAAACAGAUAGAUGUUAAAUGGCUCUUUGUUGUAAUUAACUUGUGAUAGAUGUAUAAGUUGUAAUUUUCGCUAUUCAGAUUUAUGUUUUCCGUUGCAUAGAUAGAUGUAUGUCAUACUCUGAUUAUCAGGUACAUGUUAUGGGGCAUGUGCCAUAUGUUGGCUGAGCGACACGUAGUCGUGCCACUGCGAUGACUCGUUUUACGUUUUUUAAAAAAAAAAAAAAAAAAAAAAAACGGGUCGUCACAGAAAAUGGUAUCAGAGCAGUUUGUUCUAGGGUUUGUUAGGAAAAGCGGAAGUCUAGGUUUGUAUUAGAGUCUUAAGUGUAACAAAAGAGCCUUAAGAUUCUAAAAGAUUUAACACAAACAAGAAAAACUUAAAAAUGAAUUCUUGUAUGCAUUGCAUGGAUUUUGUAAUGCAUUCAUUAGGAUUUGUGUUGUCUACGUAGCAUAGUUCUUUAUAGACAGGCUAUGCCACUUAGACAAUGACCUCUUCUUUAGUUUGGAGGUGUUGCAUGCGUCUUGUUUGAUUCAAGUGCAACGCGUUCCAUUUGUCUCGUUCACGUAUGUGGAGUUGUGUGGGUUGUCCCUUAGGUCGAAACAUGCGUGGCCACCUUUGUUGGCGACGCUAUUAUUGGUAGGCCUAGGUGUCUAGUCGUUUAGCCUUUUAGAAGAGUCUAGCAUGAUUGUGACUAUAGGCGACGUAAGAGAGAGCUUCUCGUGAGAGUAGACUAAUAACCGUCCUUUAAGAAGUGGUGACGUAUUCUUAGGGCGCAUCGAAGGAGACUUGAAUCUUGAAGAGCACGAGACCGUUGUACGAGAUCAAUUCAAGGAAGCGGCCUAACUGCAACUACAAAGACGACACCCUAGGGAGGCGAUAACCAUCAACCAAGCAGCUGUUCAGACAACGAGAGAUGUAUCGUCUAGGGAUUCAACCAAUAAGUACGAGUUAAAAUAGUAGAAUAUUAAUGUGGAAUAGACUAAUAAGCAAAUAGCAAAAAUAAUAAAUUUCAAGAUAUCUUGUUUUAAUAAACUGUGGAUUAAAGAAUAAUUUUUAAAGCAAGGAGUUAAGUUAAGAAUGACUAAUUAAUAAAAUUUAUGGGCUAAACCAAAUACUCUUAAAACAUGAUUUCAAACAUUAGAGUUAACUUAAAAUGUAGUUGUGCAAACAUGCUUUGUGUGUUAAGUAUAAGAUUUAACACAAAUAAUUAUUAAAGAAAAAGUGAUAGUUCAAUAUGAACUUUCAAUAUAUGGUGGUAUGUGUUUGACAAUAUUGUUUGAAUUAGGUCCAAGUAUUAGAAAAAAAAGUUAAUUGCUACUUGAUCUUUGAUGAGAUCAUGGUGUCAUAGUAUAUUUUCGGUGAUGAAACCAAUAUUUAGGAAAAUUUAUGUGUUGAAGGUAUAGAUGACAGUGCAAUAGUAAGGAGUUAAUAGAUUAGAUCAAUAAUAUGUUGAGGAUAUGCCACCAAUCAUGCGUAAGGAGCAAGUUAAGGCAUAGUGAUGUCAAGUUAAGUGUGAAAAUCUCAAUGGUUUACCAAUUUGAGGAUAGUAGUACCUAUGAAUUAAGAUGGAUAAAUCAUAAAACCACAUGAGACCAAGUAAGAUAUUGAAUUUUAAGAGAAACUUAGUAAGCCCACACUAGAUUCGGGGUGUUUUAAAGGUCACAACUGUGGACAAUUAGAGUCAUUCCAAUAUGAUUUUAGAAGUUGAUAAGGUAAGUGAUAGAGGAAUGAGAAAUUCACCUUAAGUCAUAAUUUGGAAAAUGAGUUUUGAACUAAGGAGGGGAGACCUAGUGAAUCAACUUGGACUGAAGAGGAUGUAAGUUCAAAUGAAUGAAGUAUGGGUUAGCAAGUGUUGGUAUUAGUUAUGACUUUGAGGUUAAGAAUAGAAUGCAUGGCGCUAAUGGUUUGUGAGAUUUAGUGGGCAAUUAUCAACUAAGACAGUUUGCUCAAGUAAGGUGUGCCCACUCACGCCGAGCAAUGCUAAAGUCCGUCCAACCAUCGCAAAUGUUGUUAAUGCUACCAUAGGUAUUAUACCUAUAUGUUGUAGCAUUGUGUACAUUUGACUUAUUGGAGUUUUAUCCAUUCGUAUGUUUUACUAUGCAUUGUUACAUGCAUAAUGGGCACCAAACCUUUAAAAUUAAUGUGCGUGACCAUUUCUAUUGGUGACGCAUUUGUCAACAGUAAAUAUAGAAGUCAUUGCCUUAGCACUAUAUGGGUGAUGACAUUGUUAACUCUAGUUUUUGACAUGAUGAGCUACAGUGUCCAACUCAUUUAGUUUGAUAUGUUAAGUAGUUCACCCUUGUCUCAUUUGUAUUGUAAGCGAUGCAAAUUGAGCAUUCAACCCUUAGAUUAGAACUUAUGCGUGGCCACUCAUAUAGAUGACGCCUUUGCUUAUAAGGAGCAUGUGAACAAGUGUGCCAUAGGUAUUAGAGAAAAGACUCUGCCAGCAAAGCUAGCAGUGUUAUGUGUGUAGAGUUCUAAUGUUAGCAUACUUAGCUUUAACAUGUAAUGUGUUGAGUUUUAAUGCCAUGCAUAUAGGAUAUCGGUGUUCGACAUGCUAAACAAUAAAGCUUAUCAUGUUGAACUACAAUGUUAACUCGUUGGAGCUUUGGUGUUAAUUUGGUACGGAUUGACGAUCAAGAAGUAGAAGUGAACGUAGAUAAUCACGAAUGGGAGGUUGUAUUCCUACCCCAUUGUAUAGAGAGUCCAAACUUUGGGGGUCUCGUUUGUGAGUUACUCUGCAAUUCCUCUCUGAUAUCCAACAAUGAUGAAUUUUUGAGAGUGUACACUUGUAUGUUUGGCUUAUUCCUAAGCCAAGCUCAAAAUCGAGUCCGAGUUGGGAACAUCUUGAUAGUACUGAUGUUUCCACUUUAGUAUCGAGUCUAUGUAGUCGUGCAUGGAUUACCAUGUGAUAGACCUAGCGACGAUCUAGGAUGAGUGUUCCAUAAAGAAAACUGACGGCUUGUUCGGUUAACUCAUGAAGCUUUGGUAUUCUUGGGAGAUUGACUUUCUUCUGAGAUACCAUCGACUUUUGGUGCAAAAGGUAAUGUGCCAAAGUCAACGAUCUAUAUAUGGUAUGACCGUUAUGAGUUUUGGUUAUGCCAUUUGGAUUGACAAAUACACCAUCAAUAUUUAUAGAUUUGACGAGUCAAGUGUUCCAUGAAUACCUAGACAAGUGAUAAGUAUAACGUCGACACAUUAGUCUAUUCGGCUAUUUGUGUCGAACAUGGAAGACACUUGGUAUCAAUGUUCGAAGUGCUUAAUAAAAGGAAUUCUUCGCCAAGCUCAUGAGGGGUGAGCUUUGCUUAAGGAAGUGUCAUUCUUGGUUUACGUAAUGAACGAAAAUGGACUCGUAGUCAAUACGUUAGCAAGUGAACACACAGUUGUCCUUGUGCUUAACUACCCAGAAAUUUUUGGAUAUGUGGCUUGCACAGAUACAUCACAAUAGGCGAGGAUGCACCCUUGUAUAAUAACAUGGAUAUAAUUUAUGCUACUUAUCAAUUGUGGAUCAUGAGUAUCGUUAUUCUUCUCAUGAUUCAUAGUCAGUAAUCAUUGUCUAUGUCCUACUAUUUUGUGAGCAAAGCACUCCAGUGUUAAGAGAUGGAGACAUGAGAUAACGUUGAUGGCAAGAUUGAUUCAAAGUGUAAUAGGAGUGUUAGUUCAACGUACCUUCCGCGGGCGAGCAGUUGAUCCAAGAGGGCUAUUUAGAUACUUAAGGGUACGCCUAAGUUGUGCGUGUGGGAAUUUAUAAAGUCGGAUAUAAUACUCGCCGUUGGUUGUGACUACUACUUAUGGUAGUUUACAACUAUUGAUGUUGUAUCGCACGUAACUUCGUAAGGACGCAAAGAUGAACGCCAAUUCAUUUGGCAUAAAGUUGGUGUGAGACGAUCAGUGAGCUUUGAAGUGGUGUAUGAUUCUAGGGAAGAUUGCACUCGUUUAAAGUAGAUAUUCACUACAUAGUGAUGGUAAGUUAUGUAGAUAAACAUCGCGGCAAAUCUAUAUUACAAAUUGGUGAUCUUAUGAAAUACAAGGUGUUGCCAAUGCGAAAUAUGUAACGCUUUGGACAAUAGGGAUGUGCUCAACUCUGAAAAAAUAUUGAGUUGUCCUUAGUGCAAAACGUAUGUCCAUCACAUAAUCGGUCAUGAUGUCUCUUAAUUUUAGAGGUUAUUCAUGACAUUUUCCCAUAUUCCUCCGUUACGAACGUGUCUGCGACUCUCCACUUAUGAUGAACUUUUUCAUAUUCAAUGGAAAUUGAUUUAUGAAGAGGUGUAAAAAGAGUGAUGAUCUAUAAGAAAAUACUAAAUUCAUUUCAUUAGUGAUACCUCUGUGGUGAAAUCACGAUGUUGAGGAAGCCACAUGAGUGCUGGACCGUUAAAUGCGGGAGUGAUCCCUUCAUUUUACCGAAUAAAUACGGGUAUGAUUGUUAUGUCAUACAAUUUUCGCAUAAGUACCCUGGGUAAAACGCAUACGUGCAUGGGUAUUUCUAAUAUAGAAUGCAUGCUCGUAUAUGUGUAAAACGAUUAAUGUUCAAAUUUCGAGGACGAAAUUUUUAUAAGGAGGGAGGGAUGUAAUGUCCGGGACAUUAUUUAAUAAAUAAAGUAUAAAAUUUAAGUAAUUAAUUUAUUAAAUUAAUUUAGUGUCACUAAAAAUAUAAAGGAAUAUUUUUAGGUCUAAAGAAAUAGAAAAGAAAAAGAAAUUAUAAGAGAAAAUAGAAUAAAAAUGAAAUUAUAAGAGAAAUUAGGAAAGAAAAUUGAAAAUAAAAGAAAUUAGAAAAUAAAAUUAUAUAUAUAUAUAUAUAAAUGAGGGCCUGAUGGCCUUUAAAUCAAGGCCAUACGGCCAUCAAGAAAGCUAUGGCCAAUUGGCCAUUAAAAUAAUAAAAUAAAAUAAAAAGAAAAAUCAAAAAGUCAAAAAGGUGAAAGAAUAAAAGAAGAGAGGUGCACGUGCACCUCCCUUCUCAAAUAAUGGAAAGGCCAAAUGGCCUUUCCAAAGCAGAGGCCGUGCGCCUCUGCUGUCUCAAAAAGAAAAGAAGAAAAAAAUGAAAAGGGGUCAUCUGACCCGAGAGAAAAAGAAAUAGGAAGGAGAUGAUUUUUAUACAAAAAUUAUGAUCUAUGAAGAUCCAAUCGUCCAAACUCGAAUCCGACUUCGGUAACGUAAUUCUUGAAGCCCGAUCUACAUUUUGACCGAACGUUUUGAGAUUUUGUGUGGUUUGGAGUUGCUAGGAGCUUCCCGAGCACUGGGUCUUGGUGUGGUGAAUUUUUGCGGCACGUUACGGUUGAGCUUAGAGUCGUUUGGAUAUUGGGAGUACAAGCAAUCUGAGAUGAUGUUUCUUUGGCUGCAGGUACUUCGGUAUAGUCGAUGGGUCAAUAGCAGUGUGCUUGGGAUAUUAUGACUGAAGCUCGCCGCGACAGUUGUAAUGGUCGGACCACGGGUUGUCCACUAUUUUAUAGGUUUGGUAUGGCUUGUGACGUUUGUGUCACUUAUUCUUUGUUAAGCCAUUGUUGUUAUUGUGUUAAUAAGACUCAAACAGAUAGAUGUUAAAUGGCUCUUUGUUGUAAUUAACUUGUGAUAGAUGUAUAAGUUGUAAUUUCCGCUAUUCAGAUU